rnacentral:misc_RNA from 1 species
GAUGAAGAACGUAGCGAAAUGCGAUAAGUAAUGUGAAUUGCAGAAUUCAGUGAAUCAUCGAAUCUUUGAACGCACAUUGUGCCCCUUGGUAUUCCGGGGGGCAUGCCUGUUCGAGCGUCAUUAUAACCCCUCAAGCUCAGCUUGGUGUUGGGGCCUGCCAACUGGCAGCCCUUAAAAUCAGUGGCGGCGCCAUCUGGCUCUAAGCGUAGUAAUUUCUCUCGCUAUAGGGUCCCGGUGGAUGCUGGCCAGCAACCCCCAAUUUUCUAUGGUUGACCUCGGAUCAGGUAGGGAUACCCGCUGAACUUAAGCAUAUCAAUAAGCGGAGGA